GAAAAAGGAUGCGCAGAUCUUAAUCUCAGUGUCCCAAAGGAAGGACAGACUGUUCCAGCUGAAUCUGGGAUGAUCAAACACAUCUCAGCUGACAUAUUACCACCCACUGAGCAAUGGUAUGCAGAAAAAUAAGAUGCAAAGCAUGCUGUUCAGGAAACUGUGAGGAAGGAGCUACCUCCUAGCAGAUGCCUUGCUAAGUAUAACCACCUAUAGCUUCUACUCAACUGAUCUACAUUCAAGAUAGAUGCUGCUGCUGCUGCUGCUGCUGCUGCUAAUGACCUAUUAAGUACUUGUUUGGUGGAAGCCCUUUAUGUGCC